GAUGAACGCUAGCGGCAGGCCUAAUACAUGCAAGUCGAACGAUAGAAGAGAGCUUGCUCUCUUUGAAAGUGGCGCACGGGUGCGUAACGCGUAUGCAACCUACCUUAAUCAGGGGGAUAGCCCGAAGAAAUUCGGAUUAACACCGCAUAAAAUCACAGUACAGCAUUGUACAAUGAUCAAAUAUUUAUAGGAUUAAGAUGGGCAUGCGUGACAUUAGCUAGUUGGCGGGGUAACGGCCCACCAAGGCGACGAUGUCUAGGGGAUCUGAGAGGAUGACCCCCCACACUGGUAAUGAGACACGAACCAGACUCCUACGGGAGGAAGCAGUAAGGAAUAUUGGUCAAUGGAGGGAACUCUGAACCAGCCAUGCCGCGUGCAGGAAGACAGCCCUCUGGGUCGUAAACUGCUUUUAUUCGGGAAUAAACCUACUUACGUGUAAGUAGCUGAAUGUACCGAAGGAAUAAGGAUCGGCUAACUCCGUGCCAGCAGCCGCCGUAA
rnacentral:rRNA from 1 species